UGGGGUAGGAUCCGACGCCUCGCUGGAAGGCUAACAUAGGCUCUCCUACUCAACUCCCAUUCCGGCACGUCCACGUCGUGCAGAGCGGUCACAUGCGUUGCCAAGGGGUGCAAGGGCUGGUUGGUCCCUUUUCUUCUCUGGUCAAGAAGAAGCUGGUAACGCAUGGCCAAGCCGGAGGGAGGGGUAGUGAAGGAAGGAAGUCAAGGAAGAGAUGGGCCGCCUCUCCUUUUCUACUUCCAACACUGCCUAGCGGUUCCUGACGACCAAAGUGGGGUGGCUCGUGUCCCGGUCUCACUGCAAUUGGAAUAACGAUCGACCGAACGUCGGAACAUCCAUUGAAUACCUUUAAUCGUCUUUCUUUGCAAAGAUCAACAAGCAAGCAUAUUGGGUAGCAUAUCUGGGUAGCCUCAACUUUAGGUGAAAUCGAUACAAAGCUGAUGAUGUGCUGCUUCAAAAUCAAACUUAUAAAAACAUACCAGCUUCUAAUCCGCUUUCUGUGGCGCCUACCGGGAGUGUUGGUCUUGUGAAGUUGUUUGACAAUGAGUCGUCGGCCAUGAAGUAACAAUCACACCAUGAGUUCCUUGUAACUUGUAAAAAAUAUUUGCUAAAUAACACGAUGGUUAAGGAUUGAAACCAACUACCAUCAUAUCAUAUUCGUGCUUCAACACUUGAGCGGACCAAUUUUAAAUACCAGCUCAUCUGUAGUGUGCAUUUCAAGUGAUGGGCAUACGAAUAUUCUCCAUUCACUGGUUGAUCUAAAGAAACUGCCCCAGCCAGAAUCAUCAACCAGCAGUCUGAAACUUGGGAUGUCUAGUAUGUAAUCCAUCAUGAUCAAUCGACAAAACUACCAUUAUCAUCAAGAUUCGUCCAUUUCGUCCAUGACAAUACGCAGCUUCUUCGAGGGUAUGUACGCAUCUCACUCCUUUAGACUUAAUUUAGUUAUGGGGAGACAACAAAUUGUUUUAAUCAUCAUCAUGAUUAGAAGUUCUAGGUACAGGAUUUAGUUUAUGCAUAGCUCUUAAUCAUCAAGCGCCGUUGGGCAAAUUUAGUUUAAGGUUUCAAGUUUAAGGUAAUCGAAAACAAACCGAUCGACUUGUCUGUGGUAUUGAGCUAAAUCUAUUGCUUUCUGGUUGUUGUACAAUGACAACAAAGUGAUGCUUCUAGCACCAGCACAAAGCUCCGCUAUUACUGGAGAUUCAGGAAUGCUUCGAUUCAGAAUGCAACACCUUUUCGUAUAGCAAGCCACAUAAUUCACAUGCUUUUUGCAACAUUUGGAAUUCUUGGAGGAGUAUAAAUUGAACAAUUGUAUAUAAAAAUGGUAAACAAUAUAGAACAGGCGAUUCUCUAGGGCACAAGUUUUUCAAUUUCAAAUCAGCUUCAGAUUGCGUUCUUCUGCGUUAUAAUACAUCUUGUCCUUUUAAAGUGAGGCCAUGCUGCAGAUAAAAUAUCUAUUGCGUCCUGGGCAGUAGAACCAGUGCUGUCAUUGUGAUGGCUUAAAUCAUUACUAUUAUUCUAAGCAGCUGCUACAAGGGGGUUCCAAAGGAAACUUAAAUAUAUUCCUACCCUAGCGAGGUCUUGUUUGUGGCAAGCACUAUUGCCGUUGCAGAUCUGCCGUUUUGAUCUAUAGCCUCAUUCGAUUCUCUCUCUUCAAGAGGCUCUCUACUCAAGACUAAAUUGUAGACUUUUCUAUACCGCCGGUAAUGUUUGCGUUAUGCUUGAACAUUCCAUUGAGUUUUCCUGCAUUACAAUGCGUACGCUUUUCAACCACUUAAAUUUCACUCAUCAUCUCAUCAAACAAAUAUAAUUUCCGGUCGAUUCCGGCGUUCUUUAUCUGAAACAGUAGCGUUUUGGGAUGCUUUAUGUUCUCGUGAUACUCCUACUAUUAUACAUUUUUCACAAUCUGAUACCAAGAUGUAAUGACUCUUGAGCAUAGCCGUUGGUCAAACAUUUUACUAAAACAGUUCAUUGGCUUUGUUGCAAUUUUAGUAUAUGUCCAGCCGAAGCUAGAACUAGUCCACAAUUUACACUAGAGCUUCUCUAUGGCUCAUUCUGCCGAUGGUGAUGCCGUUGUUGGGUUUGGCAGCGAACGCUAAAUUGAAUAUAGCUGAGUGUAUUCACCUAAUUCCCUCACUUUUAUGUACAGGUACCGUGAGGCAUAGCCUAGCAGCUCAAGGAAUCGGCUAUUGUUGUCCUUUUCGUCAUCCUCGUCCAUUUCCGUUCAGCGCUUAUCGCCAUGUCCUACACACGGAUCACACAACACGUUUUUCUCACUAACCUGUUUUCAAAUCGAACCGCUUAACGAUGAUGGCGAGAUGAUCGUUUAGUUCGUUUGGUUGGUGUCCUGAACAGAAAAGUUGAGGAAAACAAACUCUUAAGGUGUGCAUGAGUACAUAGAAACAUUGUAACAUGAGUACAUAGAAACCUUCCAUAAGCGGGGGAAUGCUGCUUCGUUGGAAGAAGCAACAGCUGCUUAUGCGG